rnacentral:lncRNA from 1 species
GAAGGAAGGAAGGAAGGAAAGAAAAAAAGAAGGAAAAGAAAGAAAGAAAGAAAGAAAGAUUCUACUUAAAUGUAUGAAUGAAAGGGGAGAAGCUGUAAGGAGCCUGGGAUGGUGAUGGAUAUCAAGGUUUCUGAAAUGGUUAUCAGAGUUCUAGAGGAUUACUGAUUUUGAAUGUAUAACAGUAACCUAUUUGCAGCAAGAGGGGAGAGUUCAAGGAUUUCAAAUACCAUAAAGGAUGUUUCCAGCCAAAGGAACAUCAGUUUGAAAGCAAAAUGCAUCUUUUCUAAAUUAGUAAAUCCCUUUUCUCUUUGCUCAAUAGAUGAAGAAAAAACCUUUUUGCCAAAGAAGGAACCAGGAAGAAGCUUUGAAGAGAGCAAGGAGGAGAGCUGGUGGAAAUGAUGCAGUGUCAGGACACAUGAGCUCUGCAGCACAACAAUCUUUUGACAUGUUUAAAUCAGAUUGAAGAAAGAUGAAAGCAGAAGAAUAUCCUCCAGAUUGGAGGGCUGUAAUAAAAAACCGAUGUGAGUAUGGAGAUGUAUGCAUUGAGUUGGAACCCAAGGUAAGAUAAUUUAAGAUUCGAAAAGGGCAAUCAGGCCGGGCACAGUGGCUCACACCUGUAAUCCCAGCGCUUUGGGAGGCCGAGGUGGGCAGAUCACCUGAGGUCAGGAGUUCGAGACCAGCCUAACCAACAUGGUGAAACCCCGUCUCUACUAAAAUUACAAAAAAUUAGCCCUGUGUGUGGUGGUGGGUGCCUGGAAUCCCAGCUACCCUGGAGGCUGAGGCACGAGAAUCACUUGAACCCAGGAGACGGAGGUUGCAGUGAGCCGAGAUCGUGCCACUGCACUCCAGCCUGGGUGACAGAGUGAGACUUCAUCUGAAAAAAAGAAAAAAAAAAGGAAUCAGACUUUGUUUUAAAAGGUGGAGAUUAUCAAGUUACAUGUCUAGAGCUCUACAUAAUAGCUUCUGGGACACUCUACAGCCAGAGACAAAAGAGUUGGCACUUAACAGAGACAAAAUCUAAAAGCAAAAGAAAUAAAAGGUAGAAGGGAGGUGAAGGUAAUUUACUAGCCUGAGAUGUGGGAGUUAUGACCUCUGGAAGGAAGCUUGGUAAAGGAAAUUUUGAUUAAAAAGGAGACUAUGAGUUCAGAUAAAUAGGCUAGUUACUUGCAUACCUUUCACCAUAGCAAUGAUAAGUGAAGGCAGGCAGAGAAAGUAUAAAGAUAUAAUAACGAAAGCAUAUGUAAGAAAUAUUAAAUUGAUUCCUUAGAGUUGAAUUGUAGAGGAAGCCGCUCUUCUUAUAUCAUCCUUGUUAUUUCCGAUUGUUUAUUGAGUGUGUGGUAACGUCUGUCCUAGUAACUGUCUGAACGUGCCUACCUUUCUUUAGAGCCACUCUAUGCAUGUGAACAGGGACUGAAUCUUGAAAUCCUUCACACAGAAAGGAUUAAUUCAUCUAGAUCAAAGUGGUAUUGAUGAAUGAACUUCCUCCACAGUAUACUUGUGAUGAGACUGUACUCAGUUUCCAGUUGAUUAUGAAAUGGGUUCAAUUCCAGAAACUUUGUUGGAGACUUACAUUCAAAGAACUAUGCAAAGUGCUGAAAGAGGGAUAAAACCAAAAGAAAACUCACUGAGCUCGUCUUUGAAGCACCCACCCUGAUCUAAACAUCUCACGCUGAAACAAAUUAAAAUGGUAAGGUGGUCUUCUCCAUGUCCUAGAAACACACACACAGACACACGCACACACACACACACACGCGCACACACACACGCGCGCACACACACACACGCGCGCGCGCGCGCACACACACACACAGUGGAAUGCAGGGGCUAAAACUAUGCUCCCAGCAGUUUCUAGGUUUUGAAAUAUCCGAGGUGAGUGGCAGUUCCAUUCCUGCCAAAGAGUAUUUCACGAUGAUGAAGGACUGGAGCCAGGCUCAAUAUCUAAAACUGGACUUUGGGUGUUGCUCUCUAAUCUCUGAAAAGAGCCUGAAAGUAGCAACUUUUGCUGCCAGGGAGUACCGCUGAUAUAAAGUGGUAUUCUUGCUUUGCACCCAGAAAGAGAAAGGUACAGGGCCUGGGCCAAGUUCCUCACUGUCUUGGCGACUGUAUCUGCAGAACUCUCAGUCUCAUGGUAGAAUGGAAGGCCAGAGCUGCCAAUACAAGGCCUGAAGCUGGACCAGAAGGCAAGGGCCAGGAGAAGGCGGAAGAGGGAGAGGAGGGGAGCGGGAGAGAGAAAACAGCUCACUCCAAGGCCCCAGGACUAUAAACACUGAGGAAAAACAAACAACAGUCAGCAAAUCAAAAUGGGAAGACAAAUACAGAGCAAUAAAGCAAAAAUAAGAGAAGAAUAUCAAAAUGACUUUUAAACAAGUAUGUUUAGGAUUAUCCCAGAAAUAAAGAAAUAAACUCUAUGAAACAAGUCAUUAUGAAAGGAAAAAGAAAGUGACUUGUCUCAACAGAAGUUGAAAGAGCAUCUGAUAAUAUCCAAACGUGUUUAUGUAAAAACAAAAACCAUAAAAACCUCAAAACAGUAACAAGAGGUAAUGGAACUUCCUUAACCUGAAAAAGGGUCUUUACCAGAGCCUGUAGUAAACAUGGUAACUUUAACACAUUCCCAUUAAAGUCAGGAGCAAAAUAAGGCCGCCUACAAUUCCCUACUAUUCAAUGGGCGCCAGAGGUUCUAAUACACUAAGGUUUUAAAAUAUUAGAGAUUUGGCCAGGCACUGUGGCUCAUGCCUGUAAUCCCAGCACUCUGGGAGGCCAAGGUGAAUGGAUUGCUCGAGGCCAGGAGUUCGAGACCAGCCUGGCUAAAAUGGCCAAACCCUGUCUCUACAAAAAAUACAAAAAAUAGCUGGGCAUGGUAGCGCAUGCCUAUAAUCCCAACUACUCAGGAGGCUGAGGCAGGAGAAUCACUUGAACCUGGGAGGCAGAGGUUGCAGUGAGCUGAGAUAGUACCACUGCACUCCAGCCUGGGGGACAGAGCGAGACUCUGUCUCAAAAUAAAUACGUGAAUAAAUAAAAAUAAAAAAAUGAAAAUUAGACCAGGAGCGGUGGCUCACGCUGUAAUCCCAGCACUUUGGGAAGCAGAGGCCAGAGGAUUGCUUGAGGCCAUGAAUUUGAGACCAGUCUGUGCAACAGAGCAAGACCAUAUCUCUACAAAAAAUUAAAAAAGUGAGCUGGACAUGGGUAGUACGUGCCUGCAAUAGUCUUAGCUACUCAAGAGGCUGAGGUGAGAGAAUCGCUUGAGGCCAAGAGUUCAAAGUUGCAGUGAGUUGUGAUCAUGCCACUGCACUCCAGCCUGGGUGACAGAGUGAGACCUUAUCUCUAAAAACCAACAACAAAACUGUAAGCACCAAGACAAAUGUGGUGGCUGAAAUAUUUCAUGUGUAAAGCUCACAGCCUGCACCCUUGCUCCUGCCAGAUCAGCUCCAUUCUUUCUAUUUCCUGCCCAACCCCACCUACCCAGGAAGGGAAGUUUUGCCCCUGACGUUGCUGUUCUUUGGGUGUUUGUAGUACAAGAUCAAGAGGGUGGAGGGAGGGAUACUGAAAGGGACAGGCUGGAGGUAAAAAGCACAGGCUGAGAUUUCUUGAGGGGUUAGUUGAUAUCCAUGGCAAGUGCUGACGUGGGAAAGAGAGGAUAGAAGAGAAAAGAGGGAGGGAGAGAGGAGUGUUUCAGCUGGUUCGAAGGGCUGGUGUAGAUGAACUAUUUGAAUCUCUUCAACUGUUCUUCCACAGAUAAAAGAAUGAAAUUUGUUUUUAAUUACUUCUACCAGUUGAAUUCUUCUCUAAUCCAUUCUGAAACAAAAUUAGUUAUGUGGGUGUCCAAGGUAAAAAUGUUCACACAAAACUUUAUGUCAGGCCGGGCGCGGUGGCUCACAACUGUAAUUCCAGCACUUUGGGAGGCUGGGGAAAGUGAAUCACCUGAGGUAAGGAGUUCGAGACCAGCCUGGCCAACAUGGUGAAACCCUGUCUCUACUAAAAAUACAAAAAAAAUUAGCCGGGCAUGUUGGCGCGGGCCUGUAAUCCCAGCUACUUGGGAGGCUGAGGCAUGAGAAUCGCUUGAACCCGGGAGGCAAAGGUGCAGUAAGCUGAGCUGGCUCCAGCCUGGGUGACAGUGAGACUCCAUCUCAACACCAACCAAACAAACAAACAACAAACAAACAAAACAAAAAAGCCCAACUGUAUGUCAGGAGUGCUAAUAUAGCUCUGGAGAGAUAUGAUCAGGUCUUGAUGUAGGUAAUGGGAGAGGAGGGCAGAAUUUUUUUUAAAUAAAGUGGAGUGGGGAGAAAAUGAUAAUGUAGAAAAGUGUCAAUAACAGUUAGCAAUACAGUGAACCUGCAGGGAUCAGGGAAAAGGUAAUGGCUGGGAUGAUGGUGGUCUUAAAUAAGGGCAGGGGGAGGAGGAGGAGGAAAGAAAUAAAAGGAUCAGAGAGAAAAAAAUGAAGGAGGAUUUGGAUAUGUCGAAUGUGGUGAAAAAUUCAUGCAGAAUUAGCAGGCAGCAGGAUGGAAAUUUGAGUGUGCAACUGCAGAGAAUGUCAGGGUAAGAUAUAUAGAUUUUGGAGUAAAACAACGACAACAAUAAACCAAACAGUUAAUGUCAUUAUCAAUGGAACUGAAAGCUCAGGAAAAGAGCCCAGAUUUAGAAGGAAUAGAAUGUUCUCAGCCAGUUGUUGAGGAUAAAUGGAAGAGGAGGAGGUUGGUGAGGCAGACUGAGAUGUGGUCAGAGACGAAGGUGGGGAGUACAGCUGGGACUGCUCCACUAGUGGGAACUAGGCAAGAUGCUGGAGGCACAUUUGGGGAUGCCUACCAUUCUGUAUUCUAUUUAUACCAGGCGUGGGCAUCUGUGACAUUCUGAAUGUGUGUCUCUGCCCAUUUAUGGAUUAAUAGUAGACAUCUGAGUCAAGCUGGGUCCUCUAAUCCUUCCCAAGAAUGAGAAACUGGAAUUCAGUGAAGCAAAUCAGUCUGUGAGGUGAUUAAACCGGGCCUGGGAUGGCUGGGCAUGGCCAUGGUACCUGCUGAGGCAGAGAAAGACAGCAUACAGAGAAACAGAGAGGACAGCAUGAAAAGGACCAAGAAAAGGGAGCACCUGGAGUGAGGGAGGGUGACCUUGGCCCCAUUGCUGUGCAGGGAUGCCAGGCUGAGCUUCCUGACUUUGUAGUGUGGGAAAGACUUCUGACUCUGCCUGAGAAAGUUGUCUUUUUUCCUAAGCAAACUCAAAGGGAUUUUGUACCUGCUUAAGGCCAAAGGAGGGGAUUUGAAAGUUGUGCUCAGUAUCAUCAAAUGUUACAGAGGAGUCUGGUAAUAACAAUGACGUGAUAAAAUAAAGUUGGGCGAAGUGGCUCAUGCCUACAAUGCCAGUGCUUUGGGAGGCCAAGGCAGGAGGAUCACUUGCAGCCAGGAGUUCGAGGCCAGCCUGAGCAACAUGGCGAAUCCCCAUGUCUACCAAAAAUACAAAAAUUAGCUGGGAGUGGUGUCUCGAGCCUGCACUCUCAGCUACUCAGGAGUCUGAGGUGGAAGGAACGCCUGAACCCAGGAGUUCAAGGCUGCAGUGAGCUAGGAUCCUGUCACUGUACUGCAGCCUGGGUGACACAGUGAGAUCCUAACUCAAAAAUAAAUAAAAUAAAUUUGGACAAUUCAAGGGCCAUUUAUGACCUUUCAGAGAGCUGUUUCAGUAGAGUGCAGGGAGCAGAUGUCAGACUGCAGGGAGUUAAAGCGUUAAGUGUCCAAGAUAGAUAGAUUUCUAUAGGGUUCUGGUAAUUAAAGGAGGAAUAGGGAAGACAGAAACAAAGUCAAAGGACCUCUUCUGUUGCUGUCAGUCAGGGUGGAAAACACUUGCAUAUCUGUGUAAACUGAGUGGGAAGAAUUAAUAGGAAGGAGAGUAUGGCUAGUUAGGGAGAACAUAAGAGAAACAUUAAUGGGCCAACGCUGUAUACUGUCUCACAUUCGUAUAAAACAUAGCUGCAUUUGCUUCUUGUGACUUUGUCCCUGAAAUCACAAAUGCUGAACUUACACAACAUUCGAGUUUUAGGGGAGCAAAGCACCUAGUUCGGUAAUCAUUUUACUUCAGGAGAAAAGAAAUAAUGUUAUUUUUAAAGUUUAUUUUAUUUUUGUAGAGAUCAGGUUGUGCUGUGUUGACCAGUCUGGUCUCAAACUCCUGGGCUCAAGGAUCCUCCCACCAUUGGUUUCCCAAAGUGCUGGGAUUCCAGGUGUGAGCUGCUGCGCCUGGCCAGAAACAACAUUAUUUUAAUGUAAUAAUAAAUAAAUGUAUUGUCUCUCCUAAAUAUGGCUGUAUAAAAAGACAUCCCAUUAAAAUAACGUUAUUUUAAUGUAAUAAUCAAUAAACCUAUUGUCUCACCUAAAUAUUACUGCAUUAAAAAACACUUAAAACACUUGGAGGUUUAACACUAUAAUCUAUUAUUUCCCAGGAGUAUUUAGAUUGGCUGGAUGGUUCUGUGGAUCUGAGCCAGCUCAGCUAAUCUUUCUGGGCUCCUUCAUUUAUGCUGACCACAGAUGGUCAGCUGGUGGGCUGGCUGAGCACUGUGUGAUCUCUCAUACUAGGGCCUUAAAUGGAACAACUGGCUGUGUCCCAUUCCCCAGCAGGCAAGCUUAUUCUUCUGGCGAUCACAUAGAAUCAUGGCAUAAAUAGGAAUAAAUAAGGCCUUGGGAGCCUAAGCUGGGAACUGGCACACCAUCACUUUGCCCUUUCUACUGGCCUAAGUAAGAUAUAAGGGCCUCCCUGAUUCCUGCCUCAUGACGGGAAGAAAUGCAAAGGGGUAUGGAAAAGGGAGAUCACUAAUUGAGACCAUUAAUUACAUUGAUCCACCAUACUUACAAAGACAUGUGGGUUUUUUUUUUUCUGUUUAGACAGAGUAAGGUGUUAUCUGAGAGGCCCUUAUCAACUAAGAUGGGCCCUAAGGUUAAAUAAAGGCCCAGCUGGCCUGGCCAAUUUCUAAAUUCUUACAACUAUAAGAAAAAUCACACUCUUAUAAACUCCCUAACAAUAUGAGCCAUCAGGCUGAUUUACAACUCUGAUGGGACAGAGGACUGGCCUUACCACAUACUUAUCUGAGAAACGAUUGCAGACCUCACACCAGUUUCAGCCAGUGUAUAGAGGCUGCACACAAAUGGUCUUUGUGUCCUCUAGUUUACCUUUUUCCACCUCAUUUUAAUACUAAAACUCUGCCCCAAAGUGAACAUGGGGUGUAUGUUACAUAUAUGUUUACCCAUUGCACAUGUGUAUGGCUCCUCUCACAAAUAUGCAUAGCUUCCCCCUAAACCUGCUAAAUCUGUAUGACACCAGCCCUGUGAGGCAUAAAAUCCAACUUGUGCUCCUCCUCUUGAGAGAGAGACCACCUUCCAAGAUGGAAACUUUCUCUUCCCAGCUUGCAAGCCAAUCUCAACAUUAAAGUACUCCUUUCUACUAUCUAGCCAUCCUGGUGGUCUUUUGAGUGACAAAGGGAAUCUCAGAAAUAUCAACAGUGGUUUCUUAAGGAGAUCUUAAGGAACUCAGCAGUUUAGUGCUGAAAUACAGGUUGAAAAGCUAAGAACAACUUUCUUACUCUUAUAUUUUAUGUUGUUGGUUCAAGUAGAUUAAAUUGGUGAGUUUUGUUCCAUUCUGGGAUAUUACAGCUGGGGUGUUUUCCAACACCAACAACCAAUUCUCUGAUUCCUCUCAUAUCAACUGGAUGUUCAACAAUUCGAUUCUGGCACUAACUCCAUGGAGUUGGUGCAAACCCCACAGCUUACGAGUUCAGUCCCAUAAGACUGCCCUCCACUCAGAAGCUAGUCACAAGUCCCAGGCCUCCAUACUUCUGACCUAGUGAGUAUAAAUCAGGGGUUCCCAUGACCCCUUCCUCAGGCUCCCGUAAUUGGCUAGAAUGGCUAACAGCACUCACAAAGCCACUUUAAUUACAUCUACCCAUUAAUUAUAAAGGGUACAAAUGAACCGCUAGAUGGAGAGGUACAGAGGGUGAGGUCCAGGAGAAUCCUGAGUGCAGGAGUUUCAGGGAGGUGGGGGGAGGGGUUGUCUCCUUAUGAAUACAAAAUGACACUCCUAUCACUCCAGAGAUUCUGAGAGCUUUAGGUGCUGUGUGACAGAAACCAAAGACAAAUAUAUUUCUUAUUAUAACACAAGACAGUCAUGCAUCCAUUAAUGACAGGUCCUCAGGCAAUUUGGUCCAGGUGCAAACAUCACAGAUUAUACAUACACAAUCCCAGAUGGUAGAGCCUUCUGUACACCUAGGCUAUAUGGUGUGGCCUAUUGCUCCUAGUCUACAAACGUGUACAGAAAGGGAUUGUACUGAUAACUGUAGGCAAUUGGAAAACAAUGGCAAAUAUUUGUGUAUCUAAACAUAGAAAAACUACAGUAAAAAUACAGUAUGAAAGAUUAAAAACGGUACCCCUGUAUAGGGCACUUGCGGUAUAUGGAUCUAUAGGACUGGAAGUUGCUCUGAGUGAGCCAGUGAGUGGGCAGUGAGUGAAUGGACCUUCCUGUUUGCCACCGUAGACUUUAUAAACACUGUAUGUUUAGGCUACACUAAUUUAUAAACACUGUACAUUUAGGCUACGCUAGUUUAUAAAAAAUAUUUUUCUUUCUUUAAUAAUAAAUUAACUUUAGCUUACUAUAACUUUUUUACUUUUAAAGAGUUUUUAUAACUUUUUGACUCUUUUGUUAUAACACUUAGCUUGAAACACA